UUGAUAAGAUUUCUAUUUUGAACUUUGCCUAAAUAUUUUUCUGGAUAAAAUAUUAAGUUAGCCAUUUUUAAAAUACAUAUUUACUAUGAUACAGUUUCAUUUUAAAUAUUUGUAAGAAAUAUGUAAACCAUAUAUAUAUUAAUAAAGGCUCUGCCAAUCAACAAAUUUUCACUGAUUCAAUACUAUAUUACUAAUAACUGAUCUGAUAUUUAUAUUGAUUUUUAUAUACUAUCUAUCUUUGUAUCAAUGUCAUAAAUAUAUCUUAUAUUUUACUCAUUAUUAUUCACCUAUUUUUAAAUAUAGAUUUCCAUUAAAAUCCAAAUAAUUAUUGGAAAAAUGGUUACAGGCUAUAAAUAGGAAAAAUUUUAUGCCUAAUAAAUAUAGUAUUAUUUGUGGAAGGCAUUUUAAAAAUACUUGUUUCAUUCAUACUUUAGUUUCAUUCAUACUUUAUCCGGAAAGAUUUUAUUGAAGGAAGAUUCAAUUCCAUCGAUAUUUAGUAUAUCUAAGCCACUUCAUGAUAAAACGAAUGUUUAUUCAAAUAACAUACAAACACCAUUAAAAAGUGAUAUAUUAUAUGAAAAUGAUCCAAUUAUACAUAUAAUAAAUGAUCAUAAUUAUUCCGCGACAUGAAAUUUUUUAUAUGAACAGUUCUUGGUAAUCUUUACAAAAUAUCUGAAAUUUAGAAAAAAAAUUUUAGUCUAACAAUUUAAAAAAUUAAUCACAAAUUUUUAACCGCAAUUUAAGAAAAAUAUAUAAACUAAAAAUUAAUUUUAUUUAACAUACGUUCAAGAGUUUACUUAGGGCUAUAAAAUGAGCCAUAAUAGAUAUACAUAGUGCAUCUAGUAUAAAAGUUAUCCCAAUUUUAAAAAUUCAUUUUUUUCAAAAAAUGACCAAGCUGAGCCACUUUGAAGCCCUAUAUCUCCGGUUCUAAUAGAGUUAAGAGUCUAAUAUUUUGGAUUCGUCACUUACAAUACUUUACUAACUUAAAUACCAAAUUUUAACAAAAUCUGAGAUGGUCGGGUUGUAAAGUGAUUGAUUUGACAUGGAAUGACCCAAUGAAAUUGGAUACUACAAUUACAGGAAAUUGCAUUUCCUUAGAUAAUACUCAAUUAAUAUGUUCAAAUUUUCAAAAUAAUCAUGACGAUGAUUUUAAUUCUAUCAAAACUAUUUCAAAUCCAAUAAUACCACAGGCAUUAUCUUAUUAUUUUAGCCAAACAAAUCCUCAUAUCCCGAAAUUAUCAUUAUAUUUAGAUAAUUUAACAACUUAUAUUUCGGGAUAUAUAGUACAACAACUUAUUAAAGAAAAAAAGGUACGAUGUGAUGUUUGCAUUAAUGCAAUGGUCAGUGAUUCAUAUAUUGAUAAUAAUAUAAAUAAUAUGCUCAUAAAUUUUAAAAAUAAUGGGGGGUUAGUGAUUCCUUCUUCUAGUAUGUCAUGCAGAAUUUGUGAAAGUUCAUUUAGAACUUAUCAAAAUGAUAUUAAACGUAAAAAUAUUAUUAAAAAAAUGGAAGUGUUGGUUUUUUCCACAAUAAUUGGUACAAAUAUUUUUAUUGAUCUUACUGAACAUAUUAAUGAUGAGAUUGGUUACAGCCAUUUUCAAAUUCUUGUAAAAUUAAUUGUUCAAAGAUAUUUAAAUAUUAGAUUUUUUCAUUUUGCUGACUUGAGAAACCAGGAAUUGAGAACUGGUAUGAGGCAAAAUCUUACAAAAGCAAUACAAUUUAAUAAUCAUUAAGUCAUGUGAUGAUAGAAUCAAAAAGAAUGAAUGUUUAUAAUCAAAGAUAAUAUGAAUGUGAAUCAUCACAUUAUUAAAAAUACAUUUUGUUUUUUAAAGUGUACACAUUUAUAUUUUUAUAUAUUUUGUAUAAACCUUAUUUAAAUGAUUUAUAUAAUAAUUUAUACUCAUGCAAAAAAUGUUAUU